ACGUUCAAGGUAGGACCAGCCACGAGACCGGGUGACAAAAAUGAGGGCCUGGCUAAUAAUACUGACUUGUAGGUACAAGGCCGACAUCAUUUCGUUAUUUGAAUUACUUAUUGUUCUAACACCGAAUUUCGCCUCAAAAUAAAUUUGUUCUGCUCAUCAACCAGAAAAAUAACACUGUCAUCAAUGCCAAGUACGUUCCAAGCACGACUCCAGUUGCAAAGAUUUCCUUCAAUUUCCAACUGUCAGGCAAUGGAGA